UCAUCCGAGUAUUUUUUUUAUGCAUAGCUUACCUUCCUGUCUUAUGAUAUGAGACAUAAUUUUUGUUGUGACUGAAAUUCUUGACAUUUCUCAACAGUUCGUGGUACCAUACGCUGCAGCGGCGAAAAUUAAAAAAUGGUAAAUUGAGAAAGUGUUUUAGGAAUAUUCCCGAUUAUUUUUGAAAUCCUGAAGGAAAAAUAAAAUUCAUAAUGAUGAAAACAUAAAAGUGGUGAAUUUCCGGCGGUCCAGUUAGAAAUUUGAGUGCUGGGCCGCUGUAAUAUUUUAUGGAUGUUUUUUUUUAAUGUUCCUGCUCACGAGGUUCCACUUCCAACUUGCUGAUUUGUAUUCUAAUUGCAAUUUGUCAUUGGCUAACCCACCGACUACGGGCCUUAUAUCGGUCAGGGUUUUUAAUGAUAUAUUGAGCCAGAACAAGGAGUGAAAAUUACCCUAUUCUUUGGAAAGUAUAGGCUCUGAACCCGAACGCCCAAAUAUCGGGAGCUCCGCCCCCCGAUAAAUAAGCUGGGAACCUAACAGAAAUCAAAAUGUCCGUGAGUCUUAGAUCAUAAAAUUUGACAAAUAAAAUACAAGAAAUAAACAAAAGGGAACAAGUUAAAACAUCGGAAAAGUAAAAGAUUACCAAAAUGAAAAGAAGAAAAAAAUUUAAAGCUGCAAAUAGAAAACGAAAUUAUGUGUUUGUGAUUGUCCGUUAUUUAUUUAAAACAUUUUUUUUUUUGUGCGUCAAAGUUUAAAUUUAUUUAUUAUUUAUUUAUUUUUUUAAUUUCCCAAAUUUAAUUAUUAUGUAAGUGAUAAAAACCAUUUUUGAAGGGGUCAACGCGAAAUUUUCGUUUUUGGGUAUCCUAGGGUGAAAUAUACCUCCAAAGAGCUCUCUAGGGGUAGGCUAUCCAGGAUCGUUUUUUUUUGUCAAAGCUAAAUUUAUUACCGAAAAGGGUAACAGUGUCUUUUUUUUGGAUAAUAACUCGACUCCGAGGAAGGGUUUUUAAUCGCUUUUGUUUUUUUUUCUAAUAUUCUUUUUUUUAGUUAAAUUGUCCUGUAAAUUUCGAGUGAUAAAUUUGAUUCGAUUUUUUUUUGUAGUUAAAAAGUCGUUUUGUAUUCUUUAUAUUCAAUGAUGUGAAUAAACUUAAAUGACGCCAAGGGUCGAAAAGAAUCUACUUGUUUGGUGUUUUGUUUAGUUUCAUGUGAAUGAAACUCUGCCUUUUUGAAGAUAUUUUCAGGGGUGUCAUGGUAGCGGAGUUUAAGUGAAGAUGGUAUGAUCUGAAACCGAUCAUCCACCAUCUUUGGGGGAAUCCAAACAUGGCCGCGGAUUUCCAUGGUUGGGAGGGUAUAGGCCACACUGCACCAACAUCCGCAGUGCCCUUGAGAUGAUGAUAGUCCGUCUGCUGUCACAUCUGUCAAAAACGGUUUUUUUUCGAUUUUUGUUCUCGGCCUGAUUUAUGUUUUUGUUAGCAGGUGAGGUUAAGUUUCGGGGGCAAGAUCCCCCCCAUCCGGCGAGCUUAUGCCGUGCAUCGCAAGCAGGCCACGUCCUCCGGAACUUGACAUUCCUUCCUUUCCUUUCCAAACACUUCCUUUUCUGAUUUCCUACCUCAUCCUAUUUCCUACCUUACCGACCUACCUACACCUCCUCCGCUCCU